AACUGGGGGGCACAGUGGAUAGCGCUGUUACCCCACAAUAAGGAGGUUUUGGGUUCGAGUCUCAGCUAGUUG